CCCCCCUCAAGAUGAGAUUUCCCAGUAUGUAAGACCCCUUGAAGACGACGAGGUAGAUAGGUUGGAGGUGGAAGUGCAGCAAUGCAUGGAGCUGACCAAUACUAAUCGGUCGAGGGCUUAUCCUA
rnacentral:rRNA from 1 species